ensembl:lncRNA
AACCUUGCAGGGCUAUUUUCCUUAGUUCUAUAUCUCCAUGGGACUCUGGGUCUCAAACUAGAUCAGAGCUUUGGGUUGGAGAGAGAGAGUGAGAUUAAUGGAGUGAACGCGGACGGCUUCCAGUCCCUUGAUGACGUGGAGAGAGGAGAGAAAACAGGAGAAUGAUUGUUUUGUUCUCUUCAGAGAAAGUGCUGCUGCAAACAGUCUAAACAGAGAGGAAAGAGGACAUUAAACACUCUGAUAUCCCAGCUACUACACUGGACAGCUGGUCACGUGACUCAGCAGACAACUUAAUCCAGCCACUCUCUAGCAAGACUAUAAGCAGGAAUGUUCAUUAUGGACAUUCUAAUUAUCCAGGGUGUGACUGAGAAAUUAUCAUGGGCUCCCCGUGAAAAUGCAGCUACAAAGAGAAACAACAGUGGAAAAUUAAGAACAAUGCCAGAAUCUCACUUGGACUGGUAAUAAAAUAAGGCUUUCAUAUGGUAUGUUACCUUGCCGACACCAAAGAAGAAAAAGAGAGCAGUGAUCCUUCUUUGUUAAGAAGCAGAACCAAGGCUGUCACAUCUCUUCAACCCCGUGCCAAACAUCGUCUGACUGAGGGAAGUGUCCAUUGGGAUUUUUAAAAGUCUCCGUUAAAGUGAUACAAGCCAUGGGAUUAAUCACAACAUUACAAACCUUUAUUUGCUGCUGCUGCUGCUGUUGCAAAAAAAAAAAAAAAGGAUUUGAAAAUCUGACAAAGGUACGGCUGUCAAAU